rnacentral:rRNA from 2 species
AAAUUGAAGAGUUUGAUCAUGGCUCAGAUUGAACGCUGGCGGCAGGCCUAACACAUGCAAGUCGAACGGUAACAGGAAGCAGCUUGCUGCUUCGCUGACGAGUGGCGGACGGGUGAGUAAUGUCUGGGAAACUGCCUGAUGGAGGGGGAUAACUACUGGAAACGGUGGCUAAUACCGCAUAACGUCGCAAGACCAAAGAGGGGGACCUUCGGGCCUCUUGCCAUCAGAUGUGCCCAGAUGGGAUUAGCUUGUUGGUGAGGUAACGGCUCACCAAGGCGACGAUCCCUAGCUGGUCUGAGAGGAUGACCAGCCACACUGGAACUGAGACACGGUCCAGACUCCUACGGGAGGCAGCAGUGGGGAAUAUUGCACAAUGGGCGCAAGCCUGAUGCAGCCAUGCCGCGUGUAUGAAGAAGGCCUUCGGGUUGUAAAGUACUUUCAGCGGGGAGGAAGGUGUUGCGGUUAAUAACCGCAGCAAUUGACGUUACCCGCAGAAGAAGCACCGGCUAACUCCGUGCCAGCAGCCGCGGUAAUACGGAGGGUGCAAGCGUUA